rnacentral:rRNA from 1 species
AUGCAAGCUGAAAUAUACAGUCUGCAGAUUCCUCAUGUAUGUUCAAUUUUUAGAAUAGGAAGAACCAGACCGACAGCCCUUGAACUAGAUUGGUUGAAGCAGCAUACAUACAUAUUACAAUUUUGCAUUUUAAAUUUGAAGACUAAAACACGAGCAGCAAUCACUCCCACUGACACCGCGGUGUUGCGAAAAACACGAGCAUUCCUCUCCUUCCAAAUUUCCCACGAGAUAAGCAUCAUUAAAGAGCAUGAUAGUUCUUCUCUCCUCAAGUCUCAGAUCCGUUUUCAUCACCCUUUGGUAUGUUUCGUGGGGAUCUUUUUUAUUCAACGCAUAAAUGUUGAUUCGUUCAUGUGUUUAGAAGUAAGAGGUGCAGCAUGCCAGGGUCCUCGAAGGAGUAGUAGAGCAGAGGAUCUUCUUAGAGAUUUGGAUGUACAGAGUUUAUGA